AGUGAACGCUGGCGGUAGGCCUAACACAUGCGAGUCGAACGGCAGCACAGUAAGAGCUUGCUCUUACGGGUGGCGAGUGGCGGACGGGUGAGGAAUACAUCGGAAUCUACUUUUUCGUGGGGGAUAACGUAGGGAAACUUACGCUAAUACCGCAUACGACCUACGGGUGAAAGCAGGGGAUCCUCGGACCUUGCGCGAUUGAAUGAGCCGAUGUCGGAUUAGCUAGUUGGCGGGGUAAAGGCCCACCAAGGCGACGAUCCGUAGCUGGUCUGAGAGGAUGAUCAGCCACACUGGAACUGAGACACGGUCCAGACUCCUACGGGAGGCAGCAGUGGGGAAUAUUGGACAAUGGGCGCAAGCCUGAUCCAGCCAUACCGCGUGGGUGAAGAAGGCCUUCGGGUUGUAAAGCCCUUUUGUUGGGAAAGAAAAGCAGCAGGUUAAUACCCCGCUGUUCUGACGGUACCCAAAGAAUAAGCACCGGCUAACUUCGUG
rnacentral:rRNA from 1 species